UACGUAGGGGGCGAGCGUUGUCCGGAUUUACUGGGUGUAAAGGGUGCUCAGGUGGUUUUGUAAGUCAGAGGUGAAAUUCUAAAGCUUAACUUUGGAACUGCCUUUGAUACUAUAGAACUUGUGUACGGAAGAGGCUGAUGGAAUUGCUGGUGUAGCAGUGAAAUGCGUAGAUAUCAGCAAGAACACCAGUGGCGAAGGCGGUCAGCUGGUCCGUUACAGACACUAAAGCACGAAAGCAUGGGGAGCAAACAGG
rnacentral:rRNA from 1 species